AAACCAACAGGGAUUGCCUCAGUAGCGGCGAGUGAAGCGGCAAGAGCUCAGAUUUGAAAUCGUGUUUCGGCACGAGUUGUAGAGUGUAGGCGGGAGUCUCUGUGGAGCGCGGUGUCCAAGUCCCUUGGAACAGGGUGCCUGAGAGGGUGAGAGCCCCGUGGGGUGCUGCGCGAAGCUUUGAGGCCCUGCUGACGAGUCGAGUUGUUUGGGAAUGCAGCUCUAAGCGGGUGGUAAAUUCCAUCUAAGGCUAAAUAUUGGCGAGAGACCGAUAGCGAACAAGUACUGUGAAGGAAAGAUGAAAAGCACUUUGAAAAGAGAGUGAAACAGCACGUGAAAUUGUUGAAAGGGAAGGGUAUUGGGCCCGACAUGGGGAGUGCGCACCGCUGUCUCUUGUAGGCGGCGCUCUGGGCGCUCUCUGGGCCAGCAUCGGUUCUUGCUGCGAGAGAAGUGGCGCCGGAAAGUGGCUCUUCGGAGUGUUAUAGCCGGUGCCGGAUGUCGCGUGCGGGGACCGAGGGCUGCGACAUCUGUCUCGGAUGCUGGGCACAACGGCGC
rnacentral:rRNA from 1 species